AGAGCACUCACUGGGUUUAUACAAAAUGUGUAUUAAAUUUUAGACAAAAUACAUCUGUAUUUUGUCUAAAAUUUAAUACACAUUUUGUAUAAACCCAGUGAGUGCUCU